rnacentral:tRNA from 1 species
GCCCGGAUGGCGAAAUCGGUAGACGCACCAGACUUAAAAUCUGUCGGGAGCAAUCCCAUGCCGGUUCGAUCCCGGCUCCGGGCACCA